AGAGUUUGAUCAUGGCUCAGGACGAACGCUGGCGGCGUGCCUAAUACAUGCAAGUAGAACGCUGAAGAGAGGAGCUUGCUCUUCUUGGAUGAGUUGCGAACGGGUGAGUAACGCGUAGGUAACCNGNCNUGUAGCGGGGGAUAACUAUUGGAAACGAUAGCUAAUACCGCAUAACAAUGGAUGACACAUGUCAUUUAUUUGAAAGGGGCAAUUGCUCCACUACAAGAUGGACNUGCGUUGUAUUAGCUAGUAGGUGAGGUAAUGGCUCACCUAGGCGACGAUACAUAGCCGACCUGAGAGGGUGAUCGGCCACACUGGGACUGAGACACGGCCCAGACUCCUACGGGAGGCAGCAGUAGGGAAUCUUCGGCAAUGGGGGCAACCCUGACCGAGCAACGCCGCGUGAGUGAAGAAGGUUUUCGGAUCGUAAAGCUCUGUUGUAAGUCAAGAACGGGUGUGAGAGUGGAAGGUUCACACUGUGACGGUAGCUUACCAGAAAGGGACGGCUAACUACGUGCCAGCAGCCGCGGUAAUACGUAGGUCCCGAGCGUUGUCCAGAUUUAUUGGGCGUAAAGCGAGCGCAGGCGGUUUGAUAAGUCUGAAGUUAAAGGCUGUGGCUCAACCAUAGUUCGCUUUGGAAACUGUCAAACUUGAGUGCAGAAGGGGAGAGUGGAAUUCCAUGUGUAGCGGUGAAAUGCGUAGAUAUAUGGAGGAACACCGGUGGCGAAAGCGGCUCUCUGGUCUGUAACUGACGCUGAGGCUCGAAAGCGUGGGGAGCGAACAGGAUUAGAUACCCUGGUAGUCCACGCCGUAAACGAUGAGUGCUAGGUGUUGGAUCCUUUCCGGGAUUCAGUGCCGCAGCUAACGCAUUAAGCACUCCGCCUGGGGAGUACGACCGCAAGGUUGAAACUCAAAGGAAUUGACGGG
rnacentral:rRNA from 1 species